UACGGAGGGUGCAAGCGUUAAUCGGAAUUACUGGGCGUAAAGCGCGCGUAGGCGGUUAGAUCAGUCGGGUGUGAAAUCCCCGGGCUCAACCUGGGAACUGCAUUCGAUACUGUCUGACUGGAGUAUGGGAGAGGGUAGUGGAAUUCCACGUGUAGCGGUGAAAUGCGUAGAUAUGUGGAGGAACACCUGUGGCGAAGGCGGCUACCUGGCCCAAUACUGACGCUGAGGUGCGAAAGCGUGGGUAGCGAACAGG
rnacentral:rRNA from 1 species